rnacentral:rRNA from 1 species
GACGAACGCUGGCGGCGUGCUUAACACAUGCAAGUCGAGCGGAGCGGCGAACGGGUGCGUAACGCGUGAGUAACUGCCCCCCUCUCUGGGAUAACAGUUGGAAACGGCUGCUAAUACCGGAUAUUGGGGGAUGACUCGCGUCCUAUCAGCUUGUUGGUGGGGUAGUGGCCUACCAAGGCGGUGACGGGUAUCCGGCCUGAGAGGGUGACCGGCCACAUUGGGAUGAGAUACGGCCAAGACUCCUACGGGAGGCAGCAGUGGGGGAUAUUGCACAAUGGGCGAAAGCCUGAUGCAGCGACGCCGCGUGGGGGAUGAAGGCUUUCGGGUUGGAAACUUCUUUCGCUAGGGAAAGGGUAGGUGGAGAAGAAGCGCCGGCUAACUACGUGCCAGCAGCCGCGGUAAUAC